CACGUAGGGUGCGAGCGUUGUCCGGAAUUAUUGGGCGUAAAGAGCUCGUAGGCGGUGUGUCACGUCGUUCGUGAAAACCUGCAGCUUAACUGUGGGCGUGCGGUCGAUACGGGCAUCACUGGAGUUCGGCAGGGGAGACUGGAAUUCCUGGUGUAGCGGUGAAAUGCGCAGAUAUCAGGAGGAACACCGGUGGCGAAGGCAGGUCACUGGGCCGCAACUGACGCUGAGGAGCGAAAGCAUGGGGAGCGAACAGG
rnacentral:rRNA from 1 species